CUCAAUCAGAGCUUCCCGUUCUUCCCUCAAACAGCCGCAAAAUGUUCUUCGAGCUAUCAAUCUUCUCUCAACGGCGAGAAAUCUAGGCGGGAUGUUUAGAGAAAAGAGAGGAGUCCUAAUUAGGAUUCUUCUUAACCCAAGCGAGAUCGAAGGCAAUAUAAAAGGGAUACUGCUCCUUUGAUCACCACACAAUUGACUACUCUCUCGUCUCCAUAAGGUUGAGUAUGUAUGAAUGUAUGAUGUUAGUUUUUUCUUUUCCAAUUUCUUCGAUUUUCUUGAUUUGACUUUUGAUUUUUUUUUUCUUUUGUCGAAGUGGAGAUUACAGGUGUUCUUCGGUCAAUUCUCCAGUGUUCAAUUUGCAAGGAGAUAAUGACUACCAGAAAGCUAUCCAAGUUGGAGCACUUUGAAACAGAUGAAAAGAUGGCGAAGAGAUGAAGAUAGUGUCAAUCAAUGCAGACAAUUUGGAACAUGAGGAAUUUGAUGAAGAUGAUGAAUUUUGAUUCGUAAAGUGGUUUUGAGCAAUAAUUAGUUUAGGUUUUAGCUAGUCUUGGUAAACAAUUCUUUUUUAUUAACUAUUAUUAUUUUUGGGUAGAAUAUUUGUAGACUUUAUUUGGGUUAUGAUUUAGUAAGUCUUCGAAUAUUAUUAUUUGCAGAUGAAUAUUAUUAAUAAAGUUUUUUUUUAA